AACAUCCAUUCUUCCUAUCAGCCUUCCGUUCAAAUUAAAAACACAUUUCAAGAACAUAUCAGUUAAAUGCAGUCUUUGUAUUAUGAAAUGAAAUUUGUAAAUUGAUCACACCAUACCGUCCAGUAUACGAAGAAAAUGUGUUUUGCUAUCACCAUAUAGAUCUGGAUCAAUCUGUAAAAGGAAACAGGUUAACUUCUUUAUAAAUGGGUGAACAACGUUAAUCCAGACCAUGAAUAUUUGCCGUGAGGUCUUGAGUUUGCCGCUAGGAUUGGCCAAGGGACAUAAAACUUUGAGUACAACGUCUAUAACUAACAAACACAAUAUUAUGCAGCAGCAGCUUGAGUUCAGAAUUAUAUAUGUGUCUGGCCGACUCACAGAAUUGUUCCUCUAGCUGCGCAAAAGGAUUAGUAAUUUUUGAUCAAUUAGUUAGACCCCUCCUUUCCAUGCACACGCAAUACCAGCGGGUAGGUGAUAGUCAAAGGCAUGCAUGGCAGUGGGAGAGGACUUGAAGCACGCGUGCUAUUAUUUUUGGCUCUCGAUUUUAAAACUUUAUAUCUUUAUGACAAAAAGUUUAAAUUAAGUUAUGUUUUCACAUUUGUGUUUUUGGGGAUGAGAACUUUCAAAUAAGAUUCAUUUUGAAUACGUUUUGUCAAAAUUUGAAAAUAAACAUUAAGUUUCAACUCUUGAAACUUAGUAUGAGAAUCUCGAAUUUUGUAUCUAUCACUGACAGAAAAAUGUCUUAUAAUUUUAUCUAUAAAACUUGGUAAAAAUGAGCGAGAAGAUCGCAAGUUUGAGUUGAAAACUCAAAAGUUUCAACGAUUGAAACUUAAAACUCACUAUGCUCUUAGAGCAUCUCUAGCAGACCCACAAAAAGCCCCGACCCGCAAAAUAAUCGCCAAAGUGCGGGUCGGCACGGAAAAUCCCGCCCGAACAGAUCCCGCAAACGUGGCCGGCCCGUAAAAUUUUUUGAGGGGCGCGACAAAAUCUUGACCCCGUGAAUACACGGGUCCUCCUCUCCCCCCCCGGCCCGUUGGUGCCCUGCAUAUAGCGGGAGCGGUUGAUGGGGAGGACAUUUCAGCCCGCACUUUUCCCCACCUACCACCUCCCCUUUCCCUCUCGCCCCGCCGCCCACGAUUCCGGCAAAAGUAGCCGACGGGAUCACGCCGAAAGGCCGCCACACGCACGAGGUUGCCCGCCCNNNNNNNNNNNNNNNNNNNNNNNNNNNNNNNNNNNNNNNNNNNNNNNNNNNNNNNNNNNNNNNNNNNNNNNNNNNNNNNNNNNNNNNNNNNNNNNNNNNNNNNNNNNNNNNNNNNNNNNNNNNNNNNNNNNNNNNNNNNNNNNNNNNNNNNNNNNNNNNNNNNNNNNNNNNNNNNNNNNNNNNNNNNNNNNNNNNNNNNNNNNNNNNNNNNNNNNNNNNNNNNNNNNNNNNNNNNNNNNNNNNNNNNNNNNNNNNNNNNNNNNNNNNNNNNNNNNNNNNNNNNNNNNNNNNNNNNNNNAGACCUGCGGCCCUUCGUUGUGGGCGGCCGGAUUUGGCUUUUCCGGCCGCCGGUGGCUGUGCCAAGCGAUGGAAUGCCGGUGACAGUGCUGCGGCUAACUUCGGGCACGCCGAAGCACCCCGGAUGGGUGUUCUUCAAAUGCGAAAAUGAUAGGGUACGUGUUGUUUUCAUUCGGCUUUGACACCGCAUUCUUUGGUUAAAUUGCGAUAGCUCAUUUCGAAUAUCAUCAUGUGUGUAGGAAGACAGAUGCUCAUUUUGGUAUUGGGAAGGCGAAUGCAUUGAUUUAUUGAUAGAAAGAAACUUAAUAGACGUUCGUGCACUCCUUAGUAGAAUCGAAGGCAAUGAAGCGGCUGCAUGUGCAACUAGAGGGGAAGCAACGUCUACUUCUUUAGAACCAAAGAAGAAGAAUGAAGAAUGCAAAAUCAAGAAUUCACAGAUCAACAAUGAAUGCAUGGAGAAGAUAUUGGUCCAAUUAGUGGGAGCAGUUAUGGAAAUUGAAAAUCUUCUAAAAUGCAUAAUUGCGAUUCUUGUUUUCUUUGGUCUUGCUAUUUUAGCAAAGAUUUGGUGAUGUCCUAUGUAUGCAAUGUUGUUGAAAAGUAAAGAAAUGCAUUAUCUUGUGUCAAAUUGAGAUGCAAAUUUAGGAUUUGUGGGCGGGAGCGGCGCCAGACCAAACUUCGCAAAGCCGGCCCGUAAAAAAACUAUAUUCCGCGAAUAUCCUUUUAUAUGGGUUUGUUUUGCAGGGUCUGUUUCUGCGGCCGUCCACGCCGGCCUGCAAAGUCAUUUUUCCGCGAAUUGCAAACACGUUUUGCAGGUCGGCGUUAUGUGAGGUAUGCUAGAGAUGCUCUUAUGCAGGAUCUAAUUACUUUGCGAAUCGCGAGUGUGCCCCUACACCUUCGUACCCCUGCGAGUUUUUGGCAUGGCAGCUAGCAGUCCAACUCGUGUCGCCAUACGAAUGCAGCUGUUGCGUAGUACAGUAAAUGAACGGAGGCAAAGGCUUAUUUUUUGUAUUCUUUCUCUACUUCUUUCAAAUACUAAAAUUCUCAUCAUCAUGAAAGCCUUGACCACACCUGCCAACGAAUGACCAUGUCAAGCCUAGCAUCAAUGCACGCAUCACAAGUCACAAGUUCUACAUCACGUGGUUGGCGGAAGACAUCGGUCCUCACUGCGGGAGCCACACGAUAUUAUUGAGAGGUUGCACACAUGCAUCUCAGUUCUCAAAAAAUAAAAUAAAAUAUGCAGCUAAUUGAACAAGGCCGUAAAAUAGACAAGUAACAUAUACAUGUUACUAGUUUAACUUACUUCCCACUAUGACUAGCCUAAACGUGAGUCCGCUACACAGCAACAAAUUUCUUGUUUUCAAUUGAAGAAAGCUGUAAUUUGGCGUUUGUGACAUUAGUUGAUUCAAGCAACACUACUGUUUACAAACACUGUUAAAAUGGUCGAGAUAGAAAUUGUUGGAAAAUAUUCUUGCUAAGAAACAACAGCUAUAGGAAUAGUCCAGUGAAAUUUACACUUUUACCAUAUAUACUAUCUAGGAAGAUGACACAAACAUUUACCCAGCUAGAUUUCCUCCAUCCUUUACAUUUGGUAUUUUUUACCUGUUAUUAUCCCAGGUCUCUAAUUGUAUUUUAUUUAUUUAUUUAAUCCUUUUAUUACCUUUUUAUAUAUAAAUGGUAUAGGUAUUUUUUAGCCAAAAGUAUGUUUCCAUAACACGUGAAUAUAUUUUGGCAUAAGUCCUUUCAUUGCGUGUAUUAGUUGUUGGAAUUGACCAUGAUUUUGACAACCAAAAAUUGAUAGCCUUGAGGUUUGUGUGCCCACAUAAAAAACAUACAUUUUCAUUUUGCCAUGACUGAUUUUCACCAUUGAUUCUUGCAAAAAUCUCCAUAUAGAAUUAAAUCUGUAGAUCGAUUAUUCGUAAUUAAAUCUUGUGUUCUCUUUGAUCAUUAAUUGCAUUACAGUUCAUGUAUUUGAUUAGUGUGCUAUUUUAGUACUAAACUAAUAAUUAAAUUUGAUUUUUGUGAAAAUUAUAUUCAAAAAUAAAUGCACCUGCCAUAUAAUUUUACUCUAUAUUCAUGUGCCUUAUUUGUAAUCUACUUAUGUCUCUCUUCUACUCUUCAAUGUCGGCACUUUGUAAACAGAUGCUUUGGUUCUGCUUAUUUUUAUCGCAUCGAUCUUGUUUUGCUUUAUUAAUAGUUUAACCUGGUUGAGAUGAUUGUUUAGCCACUUCACAUGGUUUUUGCUUAUACCUUUACUAUUGUAGUCACAACAUCUUUUCACUUUCUUCAUGAUAUAUGCUCUGUCGCACACAUAAAUUAGUUGACGGAGAUCUCUAAUCCUUAUUACCCAAUGCCAUGUAAUCAUUACGCAUGCAUCCAUCUUUGGUUGUUCCUAAUUCACAUCUUAUUUAUUAUUGCCUUUGGUGAACCUUCCAUAUUAUCGAAAUACACCUUUUGUGAAAAGCAUUAUCUUAAAAUAAAUAUAUCUACCGUAUCAUUUGAAUUUCGCAUUCACAUGUUUGCAUCUCUUAUUGUCUUCUACUUAUGCAUCUUCCUCUACCAUGUGUGUCUUUCUUCCAUGCUACGUUGUCAAUAGAAAUUGGAAAGAAAGAGCACCUUAAUGUGAUCUGAUCGUCUUCUUAUUUCUUUUGAGGAUUUUUUUAAAUAUCUAAAUCUAAAACACUAGUGACGUAUAAUAAAUUUGUUUUUCUUCCUCAAUCCAUCUUAUAUUUUUAUUAGUGCAAUGACAUUCUUCCAAGAUGCAUGCACAAAAUUCUCAUCUUAUAUUCUAGCUUUUCAACAUUGCUUAUAUGUUUAUUUGAAUGUAUAUUGCCAAAAAAAGUUGCUAAGCCAUUUUUAUUAUUGUUUCAUCACAUUAAUUUUUUAUAUUUUAAUUUAAUAUAGUUUGAUUUUUUUUAAAACAAAUGCAUUGUUUUGCAGAACACAUCUAUACUUUGGUGAAUUUUGGGCCCCGCACAAAAUACUGUUUUUACAUUCGUUAACAUAGGCCCAAGUCGUACAUGUGUAUUUAAUUUCCCUAGUUUUCCUUUAGUUCCAUCUAAAGGUUUUGGAGCUAUGAUUUGCUAGUUAACAUGGAUGUACAUGCAUGAUAGUUAACUUGGUUGUGCAUCCAUGCGACAUGCUUUCAUAACAAUCAGAUAUUGGACUAAGGAGAUCCGGCAAUUCGAUUGCUAUGUGUGUAUGUUCUGGAAUUAAAUUCAAACACUUGAAUUACCCUCAGUUUGCAUGCAUUGUCAGAUCAAAUCUAGACCCACUGCAUGAUCGACAACUUAUGCUUAGCCAUUAUGGACUAAUGAGGUGAGUUGUUUACCUUAUGUUUUCAUAAUACAAAGAUACCUGAAAUGCAUAAUUCUGAGGCAUCCUUCUUCUAUAUGUCUAAUUUAUUCAAUGAUAUAUAUCAAACUAUUCAAAACUUUUCAUAUCAUCUUUUUUCUAAGAUGAUAUGAAGAUUGCACGUGCUCAUGACUAGUAUUGCUAAUGAAGAUUGCAAGAUAGAGACGAAUUUUACCUCCCAUCCGGAUAUAACUUGGUUCGACGUUUGGCUGUCAGCCACUGAGAUAUGGGCUGAAAUUGAUUGGCCCUUCUUCAAAUUUGGAAAAGCAUAGACAUCCAUAGUCGCUAUAGUACCAACAUAUGCCGCUUCACCUGAUUGAUAUGCACAAUACUGUAGACAAUGUUGUGAGUUAAUUUGAAGUUUGAAAUAAACUACUAUGUGUUGGAUAGCAUUCCUUGAACAUAUAUGCCACAUAGAUGGACCAAUUAUACCACAUUAUUAUUUUUACAUACUUCAUUAUUAAUUUCUAGAUACCUCAAAGCAAAUCUUAUGAAAAAAAAUCGCCUGAGCACAUAUAUUUUCUGUAUAAAUGGUAUAUUGCAAAAACUAUAGGUACAGGUGAUAUUUUUUUAAUACUUGUAUUAGGUCCUUGAAUCCUUUCUAAUUACUAUUAGUUACCUGAGAUUAGAUGUAGGUUAGUCGGACACGCCAUAGGUACGAAGUGUAGUGUGGGGUAAUUGUGGUCAGGUUGAUGAUAAGCUAGAAGAUGAAGUGACGACCCCGAAUCCCUGAUCUAAUUUCUAGGGUGGAUACACACUGACUAUUGGACGUAGAAAAAACAGUCAAUUGCUAAAAAGAAACUCCCACUAGAAUUAGAAUUUGUUAUCUAGAGCUUGGUUUUGGCCUCAUGCUAUGAGCAUUUGCCCCAACGCUGAUUGGACACAUGGGUAAUUCUAUGAAGAUUAUCUAUGUGAUGCUCUGGAUAAUAACAAGAAUCAUGCAUAGUUGAUGCAAAAAAAACAGACAUACUUAAGAAUAAGAGUUAUGCAAGAGACUUCCAGCUGACAGUAUUAAGGCAUAAAAUUGUGAAGGAAACAAAAUAAGAUAAGCAUUUAAAACUUACGUAUGGUAUUUCUUCCACUCCUUUGAUCGAAGCCUCUACUCUCUCAGAACCUGUGCGUGUGACCUUGGAACUGCUAUUCAAGGAUGGCAUUCGCAUGUGAUGUCCUAAUCUCCUAGGAUACUCAUGAUAGCUUGAUGUUGCCGAAU
rnacentral:lncRNA from 1 species